CCUACGGGUGGCAGCAGUGAGGAAUAUUGGUCAAUGGACGAGAGUCUGAACCAGCCAAGUAGCGUGAAGGAUUACUGCCCUAUGGGUUGUACACUUCUUUUAUAAAGGAAUAAAACGAGGCACGUGUGCCUUUUUGCAUGUACUUUAUGAAUAAGGAUCGGCUAACUCCGUGCCAGCAACCGCGGUAAUACGGAGGAUCCGAGCGUUAUCCGGAUUUAUUGGGUUUAAAGGGAUCGUAGAUGGGUUGUUAAGUCAGUUGUGAAAGUUUGCGGCUCAACCCCGUCCGGCCGUUGAAACUGGGGGCCUUGAGUGGGCGAGAAGAAGGCGGAAUGCGUGGUGUAGCGGUGAAAUGCAUAGAUAUCACGCAGAACCCCGAUUGCGAAGGCAGCCUUCCGGCGCCCUACUGACGCUGAGGCACGAAAGUGCGGGGAUCGAACAGGAUUAGAUACCCGAGUAGUC
rnacentral:rRNA from 1 species